rnacentral:lncRNA from 1 species
AGUGAGCCUGGAUUCUCGAGCCUGUCGACACGCAACCCGCUGCCCUCGCUCUCUGCCUUCCCAGCCUUUGCCUGUGCAGCGGUCGCCCUAAACUCGCUUCCGGUUUCCUCUUCCCCAAUGCGAGCACCCCAAUAAUCAGGGCUCAUAGCCUUCGCACGGGCUGUGCCCUCUUUUGUAUUCCUAGCUAAAUCCCUCUGGCCCCUGUACACCCAAAAAGGCUUCCCCAAUACAUUUCCAGCCCCAAGAACAGUGACCGACUCUGGGCUUCCAUUCAAACAUCCGAAAAACAUUUACAGUGCACCUCGUGUGUACCAGGUGCUGUUCUAGGAGCUGGGAAUACAGCGGUGUACGAGACAUAAAAAUCUCCACUCUCCUGGAGUUCAUCUUUUUAAUGGAGGAAAUAGACACCAAACAUGUUGAAUGUUUGAAAGCGAUAAGUGCUUUGGAGAAAAUAACAGCAGGGAAAGGGGAUAGAGAUUUUGGAGGGCAAAUGAUUUUUGUUUUUUUGGCACGGUGGUCAAGGAAUGCAUCAGGAGACUUUUGAGCUAAAGGGCUGAAGGAAGUGAGGAG